ACUACCUCCCCCUUUCCUUCUCCCCCGUCUCCGGACUAUUUUCUUUCCCCAAAGCGCCUCGCCUCCUCUCCGAUCCCGCCACGAAGCAAAGGGCUCGCCAUGGAGACCAGCGCCAGCGGGGCGGAGCCCGCGAACGCCGGGAUCGAGGGGUCCGCCGACCCCUGCAGCUCCGCGGGCGGCGGCCAUCGACUCUCAGUGCACCAGAUCGUUGGCGGCGGCAAAGGCAACCACUACUCUUCUACCCCCAGUUAUCUCCUCCCGUUUUCUGCUGAGUUCGGGGUAAAUCGCUCUUACACUACAGCUGUGCGAUUGCAAACGCGAAUUGGAUGUUGUGAGGCGGAUGGGUGGCCAGAUUGUCACUGGGCUUUCCGAUGGUCUCUCUCGAUUGGAUCAUGUGUAUUUGCGGGAGUAAUGGCAGGGUUGAGUAAAGGUGGUUGACCUUUUGGCUUUCAUUUCGUAGGUUAAGUAGAAGAAGCGUGCGUGAGUGUGGCCAAGGCUGGGUGUAGUUCUGUAGACUGUAGUUCAGAUUGUGUACUGUGGUUUCAGAAAGCGCGUGCUAGGAUGCGAGUGUACACAGGUAAUUGAGAUCAUGCCAUUAAGUUUUGCUCUGAAUUCUGGUUGAUGCUUAUCAACUCAAUCACCAUUGAAAUACAUGUGAUUCAUAACUCAAAGCAAACAUGGUAUGUUGGCCACCUGUACAUACUGAACCAAUACCUUAGGUAUUAUUAUUAUUAGUAUUACUGCUAUUACUAUUAUUAUUUUAAAUUCUUUUCUGCAACGUGUUGUGCUAGUAUCAAUACUCAAAUGAGAGACCAAUCAUCAGGAGUACUAACCUGUCGUACUGCAAAGCGGUAGCUAAAUAAUUGCUACACUUAUCUCAGAUGACUGUUUCUUAUGUUUAUGAUCUGAAUUUCUGAUACACUUAAUUGAUGGUUUGUAAUCUGAAUUUCUGGUACACUUAAUUGACCAGCUUAACUUCAAGAGUACUGUCCUUUAUAUAUUUCUCUUGUGCACUGGUAAGGGUAAGGUUGAAUUAAUAUCCAGCGGUAUGAUUUUUCCCUUUUUAUGCCUCCACGUACAGUUGGCCUUAUGUAUCUCUUGCUCAUUGAUUUAAGAUGUUGUUCCUCUCUUUCAGCUGCUGAUAUCGUCUUAUGGAAGUGUAAACGUGCUACUGUUGGUGUUAUAUUUGGUGCUACUAUUGCAUGGUGGUUGUUCGAGAAGUCCGAACUAUCGUUCUUGACUAUCUGCUGUGAUGUACUGCUCAUUUUGAUAGUUGUACAGCUCAUAUGGGUCAAAAUAUCUGGGUUGCUAAAUAAGCAACCUAGGCAACUGCCUGAGUUAGUUCUGUCAGAGGAGAUGGUUAAUAAUGCUGCGGCUUCAUUCCGUGUUAAAGUGAACAACAUGCUAAUGAUUGCACAUGACAUUACUCUUGGCAAAGACUUCCGGCUCUUUUUCCAGGUUGUGUCAGUCCUGUGGUUGCUAUCUGUUAUUGGCAAUUUCUACUCUUCUGUAACUCUUGCUUAUAUAGGAACCAUUGCUUUGGUGACAGUACCUGUACUUUACCAUAGACACCAGGAGCACGUGGACAGGUAUGCUGGGAUGGUCCACCGGAAUAUCUCAAGGCAUUACAAGAUCGUCGAUGAAAAUGUGAUAAGCAGACUACCUAGAAGCUUCAUCAGAGAUAAAGAUGAUUGAUCUGCCUCGAAGUUUGAUGCUUGUCAUUUUUACGCUCGUUAAAUAGUUUGGGUUUGUUUGUUGUUGUAUUUUUGCAUCGUAGGUUGCAUCAAGUAGGAAUCUAGAUCAGUGGAAACCGAAGCUUGAUUUAGGUACCUUUUCAGUGUACUGUUGAUCAAUAAGAUCAAUGCCAAAAGGGCAUGCAGAAGAUCGCAGCACCUCGACCAAUAUCGUUUAACACCUCUGUAUAGACUGAUCUACGUGUUACCCCUGAUGUUAUUUUUUCCUUCUCUUUUGAGAUGGACCAUUGAGUUGGUUUUCGCAGCAAAAUGAGCUGCAACUGCAACCUCUUAAAAAUUUAACUGUUGUCAUGAGUACAGAAGCUAUGGAGUUGUCACGUACUCGGUCUGUAUCAAACUAUAAGAUGUUUUUACAGUUCCAUUCUAUUUUGAUAC
rnacentral:rRNA from 1 species